ensembl:snoRNA
UAUGCACCCUAACCCAAAGGCCAUAUCAAAUGAAUGAUAUGAUUUUGUCAGGUGUGCUAAAAUCAACACGUACUUUGUCGCCUUUCCCUGAAGCUGCUGUGCUAUUGAAAGUGAAUUCAAGGUUCAACAUUA